rnacentral:rRNA from 1 species
UUUUGGACAAUGGGGGAAACCCUGAUCCAGCCAUCCCGCGUGUAUGAUGAAGGCCUUCGGAUCGUAAAACUCUGUCCUCAGGGAAGAAACAAAUGACGGUACCUGAGGAGGAAGCCCCGGCUAACUACGGGCCAGCAGCCGCGGUAAUACGUAGGGGGCGAGCGUUGUCCGGAAUUAUUGGGCGUAAAGAGCUCGUAGGCGGUCAGUCGCGUCUGCUGUGAAAACCCGAGGCUCAACCUCGGGCCUGCAGUGGGUACGGGCUGACUAGAGUGCGGUAGGGGAGACUGGAAUUCCUGGUGUAGCGGUGGAAUGCGCAGAUAUCAGGAGGAACACCGAUGGCGAAGGCAGGUCUCUGGGCCGCAACUGACGCUGAGGAGCGAAAGCAUGGGGAGCGAACAG